rnacentral:rRNA from 2 species
AGUGGCGGACGGGUGAGUAACACGUGGAUAACCUAUCCUUCUUUGGGGGAUAACAGAUAGAAAUAUCUGCUAAUACCGCAUACGCUCGCUGGGCGGCAUCGUCCGGCGAGGAAAGAUUUAUUGAAGAAGGAGGGGUCCGCGGCUGAUUAGCUAGUUGGCGGGGUAAAGGCCCACCAAGGCGACGAUCAGUAGCCGGCCUGAGAGGGUGAACGGCCACAUUGGGACUGAGACACGGCCCAAACUCCUACGGGAGGCAGCAGUAGGGAAUAUUGCGCAAUGGGGGAAACCCUGACGCAGCAACGCCGCGUGAAGGAAGAAGGCCUUCGGGUUGUAAACUUCUAUCGAUGGGGACGAUAAUGACGGUACCCAGGUAAGAAGCCCCGGCUAACUACGUGCCAGCAGCCGCGGUAAUACGUAGGGGGCUAGCGUUAUCCGGAAUCACUGGGCGUAAAGGGUGUGUAGGCGGCCAGGCAAGUCAUAUGUGAAAUACCCCGGCUCAACUGGGGCAUUGCAUAAGAAACUGCCAGGCUUGAGUGCAGGAGAGGUAAGCGGAAUUCCUAGUGUAGCGGUGAAAUGCGUAGAUAUUAGGAAGAACACCGGUGGCGAAGGCGGCUUACUGGACUGAAACUGACGCUGAGACACGAAAGCGUGGGGAGCGAACAGGAUUAGAUACCCUGGUAGUCCACGCUGUAAACGAUGAAUGCUAGGUGUCGGGUAGAGAUAUUCGGUGCCGGAGUUAACACAAUAAGCAUUCCGCCUGGGGAGUACGUACGCAAGUAUGAAACUCAAAGGAAUUGACGGGGGCCCGCACAAGCGGUGGAGCAUGUGGUUUAAUUCGACGCAACGCGAAGAACCUUACCAAGGCUUGACAUAUCGAUGAAAGACCCAGAGAUGGGUAGUUCCUUCGGGACAUCGAAUACAGGUGGUGCAUGGGUGUCGUCAGCUCGUGUCGUGAGAUGUUGGGGUUAGUCCCGCAACGAGCGCAACCCUUACGCUUAGUAGCCAGCAGUAAAGCUGGGCACUCUAGGCGACUGCGUGAUACACGAGAGGCGGGAUGAGUCAAUCAUCAUGCCCUUACGUCUUGGGCUACCACGUGCUACAAUGCCUGCAACAAGCGAGCGAAGUCCCUGAGAUUGAGACACAAGAG